AGAGUUUGAUCAUGGCUCAGAACGAACGCUGGCGGCAGGCUUAACACAUGCAAGUCGAACGGCUGUAGCAAUACAGCAGUGGCAGACGAGUGAGUAACACGUGGGAACCUUCCUAGGGGUACGGAACAACUCAGGGAAACUUGAGCUAAUACCGUAUACGUCCGUAAGGAGAAAGAUUCAUCGCCCCUAGACGGGCCCGCGUCGGAUUAGGUAGUUGGUGGGGUAACGGCCUACCAAGCCUGCGAUCCGUAGCUGAUCUGAGAGGAUGAUCAGCCACACUGGGACUGAGACACGGCCCAGACUCCUACGGGAGGCAGCAGUGGGGAAUCUUGGACAAUGGGCGCAAGCCUGAUCCAGCCAUGCCGCGUGAGUGAAGAAGGCCUUAGGGUUGUAAAGCUCUUUUACCAGGGACGAUAAUGACGGUACCUGAGAAUAG
rnacentral:rRNA from 1 species